UGCAUUCUCUACUGUAAGUCGCUCUGGAUAAGAGCUUCUGCUAAAUGACUAAAA
rfam:Salmo salar isolate Sally breed double haploid chromosome ssa22, whole genome shotgun sequence.